AUACGUAGGGUGCAAGCGUUAAUCGGAAUUACUGGGCGUAAAGGGUGCGCAGGCGGCGCCAUAAGACAGAUGUGAAAUCCCCGGGCUCAACCUGGGAACUGCGUUUGUGACUGUGGUGCUUGAGUGCGGCAGAGGGGGGUGGAAUUCCACGUGUAGCAGUGAAAUGCGUAGAUAUGCGGAGGAACACCGAUGGCGAAGGCAAUCCCCUGGGCCUGCACUGACGCUCAUGCACGAAAGCGUGGGGAGC
rnacentral:rRNA from 1 species